AGAAAAAUAGAUAUUCUGUAUUUAAGAAAGAUUUUAAAAAAAUAUAUCAGUCUUGAUAAAUCAAAUGGUGAUUUAAGAAAAAAUGACAUUCUUGCUUCAACUAUAGUUAAGGCAUCUGGUUAAUUCCUAAUGUCUAAUAAUAGAAACUGUGAUGAUCAAGUCUUUGACCACGGCUUAAGAAAAUCAGAUAUUGAAUUUUGUGAGAUAAAUACUUCUUCUUCUCUUUCAGAAUCUUUUAAAUGCAUGCAAACAUCCUCUUUAUUUCCAUAUCUUGUUGUUGCUAUUCAUUGUUCAUUUGAACCAAUAUUCUCAAGAAUAAUACAACUUCAUUGAGUCAAAGCUCCCGAAUCAGUUUUAAAUUCACCAUAGUCUAAUCUGCAGACUCAGUCAGGUUAAAAUCAGAUUCUUCAAACAGCUUUGAUUUUGAAUUUUAAUAAGCCUGUGGAGUUUGAAUUCUUCAUUAUGGGAGUAUAACACCUUGAACAUCUUAAGAAUCAAUUUCCAAAUUAAAUUUUUAGUCAUAAUACCUGG
rnacentral:lncRNA from 1 species